rnacentral:rRNA from 1 species
GGGUCAGUAGGUUGGUCGUGCCACCGGUACGUACUGGUCUCACUGAUUCCUCCUUCCUGAAGAACCGUAAUGCCAUUAAUUUGAUGUUGCGGGGAAACAGGACUGUUACUUUGAAAAAAUUAGAGUGUUUAAAGCAAGCUAACGCUUGAAUACAUUAGCAUGGAAUAAUGAAAUAGGACGAUCGAUCCUAUUUUGUUGGUUUCUAGGAUUGACGUA